GCUUUAUCCUCUAUUUUACUCAUACUUACUCCAUAAGUUACUAAAUGAACAUCAUGUGAUGAAGACUUGAAACUAGAGAUUGAGACAUGAACUCAUCAGGAAAAUGUUACUGAGGAAAUAAUUCAAGAGAGAAGAAGAAACAUUUUCUCAUAGAUUUCUAUACAACCAGAAGAGUCGCCUCCUGCUGGAUGUUACAGAGGAGUCUCCUGCUGGAUGUUACAGAGGAGUCUCCUCCUGCUGGAUGUUACAGAGGAGUCUCCUGCUGCUGGAUGUUACAGAGGAGUCUCCUGCUGGAUGUUACAGAGGAGUCUCCUGCUGGAUGUUACAGAGGAGUCUCCUGCUGGAUGUUACAGAGGAGUCUCCUGCUGGAUGUUACAGAGGAGUCUCCUGCUGGAUGUUACAGAGGAGUCUCCUGCUGGAUGUUACAGAGGAGUCUCCUGCUGGAUGUUACAGAGGAGUCUCCUGCUGGAUGUUACAGAGGAGUCUCCUGCUGCUGGAUGUUACAGAGGAGUCUCCUCCUGCUGGAUGUUACAGAGGAGUCUCCUCCUGCUGGAUGUUACAGAGGAGUCUCCUGCUGCUGGAUGUUACAGAGGAGUCUCCUCCUGCUGGAUGUUACAGAGGAGUCUCCUGCUGCUGGAUGUUACAGAGGAGUCUCCUCCUGCUGGAUGUUACAGAGGAGUCUCCUGCUGCUGGAUGUUACAGAGGAGUCUCCUGCUGGAUGUUACAGAGGAGUCUCCUCCUGCUGGAUGUUACAGAGGAGUCUCCUCCUGCUGGAUGUUACAAAGGAGUCUCCUGCUGGAUGUUACAGAGGAGUCUCCUGCUAGAUGUUACAGAGGAGUCUCCUGCUGCUGGAUGUUACAGAGGAGUCUCCUCCUGCUGGAUGUUACAGAGGAGUCUCCUGCUGGAUGUUACAGAGGAGUCUCCUGCUGCUGGAUGUUACAGAGGAGUCUCCUGCUGGAUGUUACAGAGGAGUCUCCUCCUGCUGGAUGUUACAGAGGAGUCUCCUCCUGCUGGAUGUUACAGAGGAGUCUCCUCCUGCUGGAUGUUACAGAGGAGUCUCCUGCUGCUGGAUGUUACAGAGGAGUCUCCUGCUGGAUGUUACAGAGGAGUCUCCUCCUGCUGGAUGUUACAGAGGAGUCUCCUGCUGCUGGAUGUUACAGAGGAGUCUCCUGCUGGAUGUUACAGAGGAGUCUCCUGCUGGAUGUUACAGAGGAGUCUCCUGCUGGAUGUUACAGAGGAGUCUCCUCCUGCUGGAUGUUACAGAGGAGUCUCCUCCUGCUGGAUGUUACAGAGGAGUCUCCUCCUGGAUGUUACAGAGGAGUCUCCUGCUGGAUGUUACAGAGGAGUCUCCUCCUGUUGGAUGUUACAGAGGAGUCUCCUGCUGCUGGAUGUUACAGAGGAGUCUCCUCCUGCUGGAUGUUACAGAGGAGUCUCCUGCUGCUGGAUGUUACAGAGGAGUCUCCUCCUGCUGGAUGUUACAGAGGAGUCUCCUCCUGCUGGAUGUUACAGAGGAGUCUCCUGCUGGAUGUUACAGAGGAGUCUCCUCCUGUUGGAUGUUACAGAGGAGUCUCCUGCUGCUGGAUGUUACAGAGGAGUCUCCUCCUGCUGGAUGUUACAGAGGAGUCUCCUGCUGGAUGUUACAGAGGAGUCUCCUCCUGCUGGAUGUUACAGAGGAGUCUCCUGCUGCUGGAUGUUACAGAGGAGUCUCCUCCUGCUGGAUGUUACAGAGGAGUCUCCUGCUGGAUGUUACAGAGGAGUCUCCUCCUGCUGGAUGUUACAGAGGAGUCUCCUGCUGGAUGUUACAGAGGAGUCUCCUCCUGCUGGAUGUUACAGAGGAGUCUCCUGCUGCUGGAUGUUACAGAGGAGUCUCCUGCUGCUGGAUGUUACAGAGGAGGCACCUCCUGCUGGAUGUUACAGAGGAGUCUCCUGCUGCUGGAUGUUACAGAGGAGUCUCCUGCUGCUGGAUGUUACAGAGGAGUCUCCUGCUGCUGGAUGUUACAGAGGAGUCUCCUCCUGCUGGAUGUUACAGAGGAGUCUCCUGCUGCUGGAUGUUACAGAGGAGGCACCUCCUGCUGGAUGUUACAGAGGAGUCUCCUCCUGCUGGAUGUUACAGAGGAGGCACCUCCUGCUGGAUGUUACAGAGGAGUCUCCUCCUGCUGGAUGUUACAGAGGAGUCUCCUCCUGCUGGAUGUUACAGAGGAGUCUCCUGCUGGAUGUUACAGAGGAGUCUCCUGCUGCUGGAUGUUACAGAGGAGUCUCCUCCUGCUGGAUGUUACAGAGGAGUCUCCUCCUGCUGGAUGUUACAGAGGAGUCUCCUGCUGCUGGAUGUUACAGAGGAGUCUCCUCCUGCUGGAUGUUACAGAGGAGUCUCCUGCUGCUGGAUGUUACAGAGGAGUCUCCUCCUGCUGGAUGUUACAGAGGAGUCUCCUGCUGCUGGAUGUUACAGAGGAGUCUCCUCCUACUG
ensembl:lncRNA